UACGGAGGGUGCAAGCGUUGUUCGGAAUUACUGGGCGUAAAGAGCGUGUAGGCGGUUUGGCAAGUCAGAUGUGAAAGCCCUGGGCUCAACCCAGGAAGUGCAUUUGAAACUGCCAUACUAGAGUAUGGGAGAGGAGAGUGGAAUUCCCGGUGUAGAGGUGAAAUUCGUAGAUAUUGGGAGGAACACCCGUGGCGAAGGCGACUCUCUGGACCAAUACUGACGCUGAGACGCGAAAGCGUGGGGAGCAAACAGGGAUUAAGAUACCCCCGUA
rnacentral:rRNA from 1 species